UACGUAGGGUGCAAGCGUUGUCCGGAAUUAUUGGGCGUAAAGAGCGUGUAGGCGGCCAGGUAGGUCUGCUGUGAAAACUCGCGGCUUAACCUCGAGCUGUCGGCGGAAACCAUCUGGCUAGAGUCCGGAAGAGGAGAAUGGAAUUCCCGGUGUAGCGGUGAAAUGCGCAGAUAUCGGGAAGAACACCCGUGGCGAAGGCGGUUCUCUGGGACGGUACUGACGCUGAGACGCGAAAGCGUGGGGAGCGAACAGG
rnacentral:rRNA from 1 species